AUUGAACGCUGGCGGCAUGCCUUACACAUGCAAGUCGAACGGUAACGGGCCUUCGGGUGCCGACGAGUGGCGAACGGGUGAGUAAUGCAUCGGAACGUACCUUUCAGUGGGGGAUAACGUAGCGAAAGUUACGCUAAUACCGCAUAUUCUGUGAGCAGGAAAGCAGGGGAUCGCAAGACCUUGCGCUGAUUGAGCGGCCGAUGUCAGAUUAGCUAGUUGGUGAGGUAAAGGCUCACCAAGGCGACGAUCUGUAGCGGGUCUGAGAGGAUGAUCCGCCACACUGGAACUGAGACACGGUCCAGACUCCUACGGGAGGCAGCAGUGGGGAAUUUUGGACAAAUGGGGGCGAACCCUACGAUCCAGCCAUGCCGCGUGAGUGAAGAAAGG
rnacentral:rRNA from 1 species